CAUGAAACACCCAUGAAACACACAUGUUUAAUGAAUUUGCCACUAAUAAUCUGAACCUCUCGCGCUCAAGAAAACCACCCUGAGAAGUGUGAGAAUUUUAAAAAUACAAUAAUUGCCACACAAACACACAGAACAGUAGUCUCGUCGUUCGCUGCCGCAUGAAUGUUUACGUAUCUUUCUUCCGAGAACAGCUCUCACAGACCACAACUCACCGCCAAGGUCAACCCGGCAUCUGACCGGGAACCAACCUAAUCCGUCCAAACGGAUUACGAAUUUCCAAGCGGCACGUGCACCAUCAUUUCUAACGAGGAUCCUGAUGAGAAGGAGGAGGCAACAGGCGGCCAACAAAACCACCCUUUCGGCCAUCUCACACACCUGUCUACAUGACCUACUCCACCAUUUUGUUUGGGCACAUGCCAGAAAAAAUGGCAGACAUUUUGUAAAAAAAAGAAGAUCAUCUUCAGACCAUUGGAGAUAGUAUCUCCCACUCACAAAACUGAUCUCUUUUGAACACGCAUUACCAUUGGUCACGCAAUCAAAUGCGCAAUUGACCCGACAAGUGUUGGGCGACUGCUGAAGGUUGAUAGAGUCUGAAGAUAUCAUCAUACCCCGCGUUGGCUAGAUAGGAAAAGGGGAAGCGCGGCCAUGUGGAAUGACAUGCAAAGUCUGUCGGAAGCAGGCACAGGGGAGGGUGAGGGGCUUGCAAAAUCGUUUCCACAUCGGAUACAACACACACCGUCCGACCCGAUCACCUUCAUCACGGACUCCCCCAAAUGCGUGUACGUGCGUGUGCAUGUGCGCGUAAUCUAAAUUGACCUUUUUUUUCCUCAGGCGUAUCUAAGACGGCGUUUCUAACCACAGCGUGUGUUCGUGUGGUGGGCAUAGCGACGGGCACACCUCAAUCUGCUCCCGCGGCCUGCUUUGACCGGACACCCCCUUGUCUAUUUGCAAAUUUUUGAUACGCAAUUUGCUCGUCAACAACUUCUCUUCCCAAAUUCUCCGUGGGUCGACGACAGUCGUGCAAUAGCUCUCUUCUUCUUUUCUUCGUUUGUUAUGUUGCAAAUCUAAUUCUAGCUAGACCCGCAGCGCCACAGUGCCGGUCACUUUGCAUACCAGCCCGUGCGUGUGUGCGUGCUUGGUGAAUCGUAUUCAAAUUUAUUCAUUCCCUGUCGUAAGCGCUCUACUAACAGUUCUCCGUGUGACCUAUCGAUUACUAAUCCACACUUCCGGUGCGGGGAGUGCAUGGGUGGGGGGGAAUCAAUAUAAACCUCUGCCACAUGUUUGAACGUGUUUGGUGCAAACACCGGCAGGCGGAAUUAGCCUCCUGCAACUUCCUGCUACAGCGAUAAUAAAUUCAAUCAACUAGAACAAGCGGCGUUUGCGGCGAUCAUCCAUCAAGCAGGUGGCAAGAGCAACAAACACACCAGUCCCACCCCAAAUGCCCGGUUGUUUUGAUGCAAGAAAUACGGUUCUUCUACACCCACCACAAGCAGGUUAGGUUGCCUCCGUGCAGUACACGUGACAAUGUAACGGAUCUACCCCUCACCGUUCACUAUCGGAAAAGGAACAGCAGCAGCAGCAGCUAGUAAGUAGUGCGAGCUCCUCGUGUACUACCGCGUGGUGGAGGUGGUUGGUUUGCACCACUUGAGUGGGACAAUAAUAGUGGCGGCAAUAACAACAACGGCAACCACUUGCAGCAUGGGAAAGUAGUAACGCUUAAGUCGCAUGGAGUGUGCGUUGGCGUAUAUCACGCGAUGUUUACUGGCCCUGCUGAUUUGUUUACGGAGUGUGUUAUACAACGUGUGCGAGAGAGAGAGAGAGAGGUGUGGGUGAUCUUGGAGAUGUGUGAUCGUAGAACAAGAAAGAUUAUGAAUCUCUCUUUCGCGUUGGGAAGUGAAGUAGCAGCUGGUGCAUCAGAAACACACUUCAAUAAACAAAGGCCUGCUCAGCAAGAGACUUGCAGUAUAGAACCAUCGAUCGUACGGCGACAUAAGCGCGUCUCUCUCGUGUGUAUGGUUCGUGUGCCAAGGAAUGCGUUGUAUUGCACAUACAGUGCCGCUCGGGCAUGCUUCCUAUUUUCGCACUGCCGAUGCACCACCACCACCACCACCACCCUAAUCUGCAUCACUGCAACGAGAGCGGGACCGGAUUCUAACGUCCCGAGACCGUAAACAACGCCGCGAUCAAACUGCA